AUUGAACGCUGGCGGCAUGCUUUACACAUGCAAGUCGAACGGUAACAGGCCUUCGGGUGCUGACGAGUGGCGAACGGGUGAGUAAUGCAUCGGAACGUACCCAGAGGUGGGGGAUAACGCAGCGAAAGCUGUGCUAAUACUGCAUGUGAUCUGAGGAUGAAAGCGGGGGACCGAGCAGCAAUGUUUGGCCUCGCGCCUUUGGAGCGGCCGAUGUCGGAUUAGCUAGUUGGUGGGGUAAAGGCCUACCAAGGCGACGAUCCGUAGCUGGUCUGAGAGGACGACCAGCCACACUGGGACUGAGACACGGCCCAGACUCCUACGGGAGGCAGCAGUGGGGAAUUUUGGACAAUGGGCGCAAGCCUGAUCCAGCAAUGCCGCGUGCGGGAAGAAGGCCUUCGGAUUGUAAACCGCUUUUGGCAGGAACGAAACGGUGUCCGCUAAUACCGGGCGCUAAUGACGGUACCUGCAGAAUAAGCACCGGCUAACUACGUG
rnacentral:rRNA from 1 species